UACGUAGGGACCAAGCGUUGUUCGGAUUUACUGGGCGUAAAGGGCGCGUAGGCGGCAAUUCAAGUCAUCUGUGAAAUCUCCGGGCUUAACUCGGAAUGGUCAGGUGAUACUGCUUUGCUAGAGUGCAGAAGGGGCAACUGGAAUUCUCGGUGUAGCGGUGAAAUGCGUAGAUAUCGAGAGGAACACCUGCGGCGAAGGCGGCCGACUGGGCCGACCCUGACGCUGAGGUGCGAAAGCGUGGGGAGCAAACAGG
rnacentral:rRNA from 1 species